AAGCCGGGCCACGGGCUGGGAGCAAACUUCCCCCGUCGAGAAGGAGAAAAAAAAAAAAUAGGAAAAAGACCUAGACAAAAGAUCCCCGAGACGAGCCCGGCUCUUGCAACAGAUGAUUUGAGAAUGAAACUUGAUAAUCCAUUCAUGCUGCUCACAAAGCAAGAUGAGACGGCGGAUCUCAGAGGCAGAGGUGGAUGAGCUGAAACUAUUAGGACAUAAAUCACUGCUCAGCCCCUGACACAUCCCUCUGUAGCAAUUCCAUCAGCAGGCUGGGCUGAGCCUGUGCCAGCCUGGCCCUGAACAGGGAGCAUUUUGGGGGAGAGGGAAGCCAUCAGAUGCAAUGCUCAUGCAGGACAAACCUCAGAAGAUUUCUGUACCAAUCUGCACCAACAAGGCACAAUCCUGAUUUGGAUG